UGGUACACCUGCUGAGAUAUCACAGAA
rnacentral:sRNA from 1 species